rnacentral:rRNA from 1 species
CCUACGGGAGGCAGCAGUGGGGAAUAUUGCACAAUGGGGGAAACCCUGAUGCAGCGACGCCGCAUGAAGGAAGAAGGAUUUCGGUAUGUAAACUUCUAUCAGCAGGGAAGAAAAUGACGGUACCUGACUAAGAAGCCCCGGCUAACUACGUGCCAGCAGCCGCGGUAAUACGUAGGGGGCAAGCGUUAUCCGGAUUUACUGGGUGUAAAGGGAGCGUAGGCGGGGAUGCAAGUCAGAAGUGAAAGCCCGGGGCUCAACUCCGGGACUGCUUUUGAAACUGUGUUGCUAGAUUGCAGGAGAGGUAAGUGGAAUUCGUAGUGUAGGGGUAAAAUGCGUAGAUAUUAAGAGGAACACCCAUGGCGAAGGCGGCUUACUGGACUGUAAAUGACGCUGAUGCGCGAAAGCGUGGGGAGCAAACAGGAUUAGAUACCCUUGUAGUC